GGUAAUACGUAGGGUACAAGCGUUGUCCGGAAUUAUUGGGCGUAAAGAGCUCGUAGGUGGUUUGUCGCGUCUGCUGUGGAAUCGUGCCGCUUAACGGUGCGCGUGCAGUGGGUACGGGCAGACUGGAGUGCAGUAGGGGAGUCUGGAAUUCCUGGUGUAGCGGUGAAAUGCGCAGAUAUCAGGAGGAACACCGGUGGCGAAGGCGGGACUCUGGGCUGUUACUGACGCUGAGGAGCGAAAGCAUGGGGAGCGAACAGGAUUAGAUA
rnacentral:rRNA from 1 species